rnacentral:misc_RNA from 1 species
GUGAAUCAUCAAAUCUUUGAACGCAAAUUGCACACUCUUCGGUGAGUAUGACUGUUUGUGGGUCAGGCUAAAAAAAAUUGACAUAGUUGGUGUUACGUGGUUAUAUUUGUCGGAAAUUGGGUUAUCUUCAACUUUUGGGUUUAAGCGGCUUAAAAUAUUCUUUAUGAUUUUAAGAACGUUUUUAAGAUUUUAUUUUGUAAUAUGUUUAUGGUAUAGAUUUUUAUCAGACGUGGUCGUUGUAUGGG